rnacentral:pre_miRNA from 1 species
GGAGGGAAAAGAGAGCUCCCUUUGGUCCAAUUAACUGAUUAAGAGGGCUGAGGAGUGGUUAGAUCGAGCUGUCAUCUCAUGCAUUUUGGCUACCCUUGAUUGUUAUGGAAAGUAAUGUGAAGGGUUUGGCCAGGUGCAUGAUGUGGGAGCAACUCCUUCUGCUUGCUUAGCCCGCCCAUUGGAUUGAAGGGAGCUCUCCCGCGCGCAUCC